UACUAGAGUAGCACUCGCAUAUCAAUAAGCGGAGGAAAAGAAACUAACAAGGAUUCCCCUAGUAACGGCGAGUGAAGCGGGAAGAGGCUCAAAUUUGAAAUCUUAAAGGGUUUCCCUUUACGAAUUGUAGUUUAAAGAAGUGUUUUCUGUUGAGGUUUUGGUAAAAGUUCUUUGGAAUAGGGACAUCAUAGAGGGUGAGAAUCCCGUAUUUGACCUUUACUUUCAACUUUGUGAUACACUUUCAAAGAGUCGGAUUGUUUGGGAAUGCAGUCCAAAAUGGGUGGUAAAUUUCAUCUAAAGCUAAAUAUUGGCGAGAGACCGAUAGCGAACAAGUACCGUGAGGGAAAGAUGAAAAGAACUUUGAAAAGAGAGUUAAACAGUAGCGUGAAAUUGUCAAAAGGGAAGCGUUUGACACCAGUGUUGUUUUUCUGAAAAUCAAUUAAAGAACUGUUUAUGCUAAGCUGUUUAGACUUUAUCAGCUAUCUGUUUAGUUUUGAGCUUUUCUUUAAUGCACUUUUCAGUUAACAAGUCAACAUCAAUUUCUUUUGCUGUAAAAAAGCUUGAGGAAGGUGGCUUGAGAUUCGUCUUAAGUGUUUAUAGCCUCUUGCCUAUGCAGUCGGAGAGAUUGAGGUCUGCAGCGUAGAUCCUUCGGGGCUAAAUGCAUUUGUGCUAAGUUAUAGCAUUUUAUAGACAACUUGUUGACUAUGAUUUGUCUUGUAGCUUACUCGCUUAUGUUAUUUUACCUACGCUUAGGAUGUUGAUCUACAGAGCGAGAGU
rnacentral:rRNA from 1 species